GACGAACGCUGGCGGCGUGCUUAACACAUGCAAGUCGAACGGAAAGGCCCUGCUUGCCGGGUACUCUAGUGGCGAACGGGUGAGUAACACGUGGGUGAUCUGCCCUGCACUUCGGGAUAAGCCUGGGAAACUGUGUCUAAUACCGGAUAGGAGCCAUUUUUCGUGUUAUGGUUGGAAAGUUUUUUCGGUGUAGGAUGAGCUCGCGGCCUAUCAGUCUGUUGGUGGGGUAGUGGCCUACCAAGGCUGCGACGGGUAGCUGGCCUGAGAGGGUGGGGGGCCACAUUGGGACGGAGAUACGGCCCAGACUCCUACGGGGGGCAGCAGUGGGGAAUAUUGCAGAAUGGGCGGAAGCUGGAUGAAGCAACGCAGCGUGCGGGAGAACGGACUUAGGGUGGUAAACAGCUUUCGCAUGUGAAGAAGCGAGAGUGACGGUAAUGGGUAAAGAAGAAACGGCUAAAGACGUG
rnacentral:rRNA from 1 species